rnacentral:lncRNA from 1 species
CUACUUAGACAACUUGAUACUUCAAGAAGAGAAGCAAACGAGCGUGUCCAACAAAUUCAAAAAGAAGCAAGUGAACAAGUAAAUGAUGUUAAGAAGCAAAUGGAUGAGAAACUUGCAGAGAUGAAUAGAAUAUGGGAGCAGAAAUUCAAGAUGCUUUUGGAGAAAAACAAUAAUAUUGCAUCAGUAAGUGAUUAAAAACUAAGUCUCAUUUUUUUUUUAAUAUAAGAAUUUUUGUAAACUAUAUAACUAGUAUGAACCUUAUCUAUUUUAUAUAAUUUUGUUAUUAAUAUUUUCAAAUAAAAUUUUAUACAGCCUAUGGAGGAUUUCCAAGAUGAUGAAAUUGGAGGAUGAUUUGCAGUAUAUUUGAAGUUUUGGAUUUUGAAGCAGCCAGCAGCCUUAUAAUACUACUUUUAGAAAAUUUAGAUAUUAA